rnacentral:rRNA from 1 species
CCUACGGGCGGCAGCAGUGAGGAAUAUUGGUCAAUGGACGAGAGUCUGAACCAGCCAAGUAGCGUGAAGGAUGACUGCCCUAUGGGUUGUAAACUUCUUUUAUAUGGGAAUAAAAUGUUCCACGUGUGGGAUUUUGUAUGUACCAUAUGAAUAAGGAUCGGCUAACUCCGUGCCAGCAGCCGCGGUAAUACGGAGGAUCCGAGCGUUAUCCGGAUUUAUUGGGUUUAAAGGGAGCGUAGGUGGAUUGUUAAGUCAGUUGUGAAAGUUUGCGGCUCAACCGUAAAAUUGCAGUUGAAACUGGCAGUCUUGAGUAGAGUAGAGGUAGGCGGAAUUCGUGGUGUAGCGGUGAAAUGCUUAGAUAUCGCGAAGAACUCCGAUUGCGAAGGCAGCGCACUGGACUGAAACUGACACUGAGGCUCGAAAGUGUGGGGAUCAAACAGGAUUAGAUACCCUUGUAGUC